AUCGGCAGCCCCGGUGCCCGCGGCACCCCGUGCCGGGAUGCGCCGCCGCUGCCCUGGGCUCUCCCCGCAGGGCCGUGGUGCUCAACAGCCGGGGCUGCAAGGGCGAGGAGCUGCUGACCCCCCGCACCUUCUGCGCCAGCAACACCGAGGACCUGGAGACGGCCGUGCAGCACGUGCGGCAGCGCUGCC